rnacentral:rRNA from 1 species
UACGUAAGGAGCGAACGUUAUCCGGAUUCAUUGGGUUUAAAGGGUCCGUAGGCGGAUUUUUAAGUCAGUGGUGAAAGCCGGCAGCUCAACUGUCGAACUGCCAUUGAUACUGGAAAUCUUGAGUACAAAUGAAGUAGGCGGAAUGAGUCAUGUAGCGGUGAAAUGCAUAGAUAUGACUCAGAACACCGAUUGCGAAGGCAGCUUACUAACAUGUAACUGACGCUGAGGGACGAAAGCGUGGGGAGCGAACAGG